rnacentral:rRNA from 1 species
UGGGGAAUUUUGGACAAUGGGCGAAAGCCUGAUCCAGCAAUGCCGCGUGUGUGAAGAAGGCCUUCGGGUUGUAAAGCACUUUUGUCCGGAAAGAAAUCCUUGGCUCUAAUACAGUCGGGGGAUGACGGUACCGGAAGAAUAAGCACCGGCUAACUACGUGCCAGCAGCCGCGGUAAUACGUAGGGUGCAAGCGUUAAUCGGAAUUACUGGGCGUAAAGCGUGCGCAGGCGGUUUGCUAAGACCGAUGUGAAAUCCCCGGGCUCAACCUGGGAACUGCAUUGGUGACUGGCAGGCUAGAGUAUGGCAGAGGGGGGUAGAAUUCCACGUGUAGCAGUGAAAUGCGUAGAGAUGUGGAGGAAUACCGAUGGCGAAGGCAGCCCCCUGGGCCAAUACUGACGCUCAUGCACGAAAAGCGUGGGGAGCAAAACAGGAUUAGAUACCCUGGUAGUCCACGCCCUAAAACGAUGUCAACUAGUUGUUGGGGAUUCAUUUCCUUAGUAACGUAGCUAACGCGUGAAGUUGACCGCCUGGGGAGUACGGUCGCAAAGAUUAAAACUCAAAUGAAUUGACGGGGUCAUAGCUG